CUGCUCAAUGAGUAAACUCUUAAAUAGCUGCAGUAUCUUAACUGUACAAAGGUAGCAUAAUCAAUUGUCUUUUUAUUAAAGUCUAGAAUGAAAGAAAUGAUGAAAUAAUAACUGUCUCAAAAUAAUUAAUAUUUAAAUUUUAUUAUAAGUUAAAAUUCUUAUAUAUAUAUAAAAGACGAGAAGACCCUAUAGAAUUUUAUUAUUAUUAUUAAUAUUUUAUUAUUAUUUAUAAAAAUUAUUAUAAUAAUAAUUAUAUUGGGGGGAUAUAAAAAUUUAAUUAAUUUUUUAAAUAAUUUUAACACAAAAUAUUUGAAUUAUUUUAUCCAAUAUUAUUGAAUGUAAUAUAAAUUACCUUAGGGAUAACAGCGUUAAAUUUUUAGAGAGUUCAUAUUGAUAAAAAAUUUUGCGACCUCGAUUUUGAAUUAAAAUAAAUUAUUAUUGUAGAUAAUAAUAUAAU
rnacentral:rRNA from 1 species